rnacentral:misc_RNA from 1 species
UUUAUACCUUACACCACAGCCCUCUGCUUUUUGUCUUUGACCUUUUCCAAGAAAACUUUUACCUCUCCAACUAACAUCCAUUCACUUGAUUUCAGUUCUCACAUUCAGAUCCAUUAUCAUUACAAUUAAAUUAUAUCUAUAUUCUUUUUCUUACUUUGGUUUUAUUUUAUUCAGUACACUUUCAAUAUUAUUUUCAUUUUAAUUUCAUUUUUGUAUCAACUGGACUUAACAGCUAUAAUCAUACAUUACUUUAUCUCUAAUUUCCCAUACCAACACUUUGUCACAAGAAUUCUCUCAAAACUUUUGAAAUAAAAUAAAAAAAAUAAACCAUCUCAUAAUAAUUACAAUUCUUUUUCAUUCACAUAUUACACACUUUUAAUUAUUUGACUGUAUCCUAACUCAAAUCCAUUAUUUACAAAAACUUGCAUUUUUAAAUAACAAUAUUUUCCUUUUACAUAUACAACCACCAAUACAAUAUAGACUAGAUUAAAUUGCCUACCAAUUUAUUCAUUUUGUACAAUAACUUUCCAACUAAUAUUGAUUUUUCUCUUUUCUCACCUUCAUCUAUUUUUAUCUUUUUAUCUUUAUUGACAGCAGCUUACUUUCUUUCUAUCAAUUUGAUCAAUCUAAUGUUAUGGUAUACAGUCAAUAUAAAUAAUCUUAUAUUCUAAAUUAAUUUUGUAUAUCACAAUUUCUUUUCAAUAACCAAUAGAUUUAAAAUGUUAGACAUUUUUCAGAUAUUAAAAUCUUUAUCAUUUGUUGUGGGUCAUGACCUUUUGGUUAAUUAACAUUGAAAAUCGACUACCUUUUUCUCUACUGUCAAUGUCACUUCAAACAGUUCCUUAGUCAUUAGUGUCACUUUAUAGUCAAAGUUGGCCUAAGAUGGUUGAUUGAGGUUUUGGUAGGGUUUCACCAUGUUCCCAUAGGCAAUAUCCUGUAACAUCGGCGUUUAGCCUGUUUAAUAUUAUUUUUAAAUAAUGUAAAUUGAAUUUUAAAUUCAACCAUUGUUUGGUUCUGGGGCUAUUUAGCAAGUAUGCACGUAAGUAAUCUAACCACAUUUUUAGCUUUUAAAAAUUUCAACCAUCUUUCAAUUCUAAUAGUGGGAUUACUUAUUUUAUUGUAGAUUCACUGAUGAUGGACCGAUAGGUCUGAAAACGUUCUGAAUUGGACAUUUUUAUUCAAUCCAUUGGGAUUUUUAAGUUUUAAUAAAUAUACCAAUUUACAUAGAAGUGGUUUUACUUCUUGUUAGAGUUUUUUAACUAUAUGGUAUACAGCCAACCUAGGGAACCUCCCUUUUAGUUUAUAUAUGACAGUAUGGUCAACUUGGCGCUACAAUACUUGCGAUUAGCCACACAACGGAGCAACAUAAAGCUGGACAUAUGGUUCAUUUCAAGAUGUUUACAUCAUAAAGUCUUCCCAACAUUUUGUAGAGUUAGAACAUCCAAUAAUGUACAUCCUAACAUCAGGACCUCCAUGCAGAUUAAACUCAUGAAGAAAGAGAUUUGUAAACAUUACAGUAAACUCAACUACAUAGAAUGUAAGCUAAAGGUAACAUAUGAUUCUCUACUUGAAACUUUACAAUUUAUUAAUCUUAAUUCUUUUAUGUCAGACGUUCAGGAUAAGGUAGAUCAUUCACAUUCAGUUAAAUUUAAUAGAGUCAAUAAUAAAUUAAAACACUUAAUCAACAAUAAGAUUAGACUUGAUCAACAAAAAGCUUCUCGUAAUAAAAAUUAUUCCAAUUUUCGAUUCCACCCAAGAAUCAAAAAUCUCUCAAAUGUCCAAUUUUCUGAUGACGAAUUAAAACUCUUAAACCUCGGCCUCAAACACUCCAUUCCUAGCAAUUUAUCUAUCAAAGAUCUUGAGAGUCUUUCCAUAGAGACCGACAUGGUUAUUCAGAAUCUUUCCAUUUCACUCACACAAAAAACUUCAAUCAGAAACUCUUGCAUCCAAACUAUCAACAAAUUCAAAACUAAACUUCUUUCCAACAAUAACUCCUCUCUUACCAACAUCUGUUCCCCUUCUACUUCUACACAAACUUCUUCAUCUCUCUCUUUUCCCAAUUUCUCAUAUAAUAAGUCUAAAUCCCUUCUCUCCACACUCAAAUCUAUCAAAAAUAAGAUCCAAAACCACCACCUCAUCUUCAGCAAAGCAGAUAAGGGUAACUGCCUUGUUAUUUUAGACCAACAAUUAUACAUUGACAAAGUCACCUCUUUCCUAGACAACAAUAACUUUACUUUGCUUCCUGUUGAUCCCUCUAAAUCUUUUGUUUCGAAGAUGAAAACCAACUUAAAGCAAUUUACUGAAUUCUUUUCUGAAUUUGAAGCACCAUAUACUAAAAUUCCAUCAAAUCCACUCACCCCCAGGUUAUACGGUUUACCAAAGAUACACAAAGUUGACAUUCCUAUUCGUCCCGUUGUCAGCUUCAUUAACACUCCAGUUUCUAUUUUAUCUAAAUUCAUUCUUAACACCAUUAAAAACUUUAUUAACUUUACCCCACAGUUUACUGUUUUGAAUUCUCGCCAAUUAGUUGAAAAACUUCAACUUGUCAAUCUUAAUCCAAAUAUUGUUAUGCUUUCUUUUGAUGUUAGCAAUUUAUUUACUUCAGUACCAAAAAAUGAAUCGAUUAGUCUGGUUAAUUCACUCCUCUUAAAUAAUUCUGUCACUUCCACCACCACUUCGUCUAUUAUAAACAUUCUCAAAAUUUGUCUAUCUCAAGAUUACUUUGUUUUUAAUAACAACUUUUAUCAACAACCUGACGGUUUAGCAAUGGGUAGUUGCUUAUCCCCUUUCUUAGCUGAUGUUUUUAUGGAUCACUUAGAAUCCAACUAUAUCAUAAAAAAUCCAGAGAUCUUACACUGGUUCCGUUAUGUUGAUGACAUUUUAGUCCUCAUUUCUGGUAACUCUGAUUCAGCUCACAACUUACUUCACAAAAUAAAUCAAAUCCAUCCUAAUAUCACCUUUACCAUGGAACUAGAAUCUUCUAACUCCAUUAACUUUCUGGAUUUAUCUAUUACCAGACUACAUGACCACUUCAACUUUGGUAUCUACCGUAAACCAACACAGACAGAUCAUGUUAUCCAUUCUACUUCUAAUCACCCUUUAUCAUAUAAACUCUCUGCUUUUCGCAGUUUUAUACAUAGAUUAAACUCUAUUCCUUUAUCCGUAACUGAAUUCAACAAAGAGUUGAAUAUUAUCAAACAGAUUGCAGUCAACAAUGGUUAUGACCCAGACAUUAUCACUAAACUUCAACAAAAAAGAGAACUCAAAUUACUACAACAAUCCGCUUUCUCUACAUCAUCCACAACUACUCCCAUCUAUGCCUCCUUACCAUUCAAUAACUCCAAAUUAUCUGAAAGAGUCAAACAUAUCAUUUCAAAUUCUUGUGACAACAUAAAAAUAUCUUUCAAAGUUAAUAACACUCUCAGCAAAAGUUUAACUAAUACCAAAGAUCCUAUCCAUUAUAUGAACCGGAGUGGGGUAUACAGACUCUCUUGUUCAGAUUGUGAUGCCACCUACAUCGGCAGAACUUACAGAUCCCUUUCUACCCGAUCUGCUGAACACAGCAAGAGAGAUACCACUUCUGCCUUUUCACACCAUUUAAAAGUCAAUAAACAUGAACUUAAGAUUCCUGAAGGUGUCCAGUUGAUACACAAUAUUCAACAAAACAAUACACUCCGUUUAGACUUAUACGAAGAUUUGGAGAUUGGCAAGGACAUGAAGAAGAGUCCCAACUGUGUCAAUAGACAAACAUCCCUUAACCGCAACUUUGUCCCCAUUCACCGCCAAUUAUUCUCAUAAUUCCUAUUUUUUCAACUUCCUCUUUUAUCCUAUUCUUUCUCUUUCAACUUACUCUCUCUUCUUUUUCAAAAUUUCCUCUUUCCUUCACUGCUUCCAAACUCCUUUACCCGAAUAACAUUAUUAACUAUUGAACCCUAUUAACCAUCACCUCAUUAAUUCACCCUACUAUCUUUUUACUUCUUUUUCAUUUCAUUACUUCGUUCAGUUUAAUUCCACACCUCAUCUUUUCUUUAUCCCUCUCUUUCCCUUAAAAUUCUUGUCUUUAUACCUUACACCACAGCCCUCUGCUUUUUGUCUUUGACCUUUUCCAAGAAAACUUUUACCUCUCCAACUAACAUCCAUUCACUUGAUUUCAGUUCUCACAUUCAGAUCCAUUAUCAUUACAAUUAAAUUAUAUCUAUAUUCUUUUUCUUACUUUGGUUUUAUUUUAUUCAGUACACUUUCAAUAUUAUUUUCAUUUUAAUUUCAUUUUUGUAUCAACUGGACUUAACAGCUAUAAUCAUACAUUACUUUAUCUCUAAUUUCCCAUACCAACACUUUGUCACAAGAAUUCUCUCAAAACUUUUGAAAUAAAAUAAAAAAAAAUAAACCAUCUCAUAAUAAUUACAAUUCUUUUUCAUUCACAUAUUACACACUUUUAAUUAUUUGACUGUAUCCUAACUCAAAUCCAUUAUUUACAAAAACUUGCAUUUUUAAAUAACAAUAUUUUCCUUUUACAUAUACAACCACCAAUACAAUAUAGACUAGAUUAAAUUGCCUACCAAUUUAUUCAUUUUGUACAAUAACUUUCCAACUAAUAUUGAUUUUUCUCUUUUCUCACCUUCAUCUAUUUUUAUCUUUUUAUCUUUAUUGACAGCAGCUUACUUUCUUUCUAUCAAUUUGAUCAAUCUAAUGUUAUGGUAUACAGUCAAUAUAAAUAAUCUUAUAUUCUAAAUUAAUUUUGUAUAUCACAAUUUCUUUUCAAUAACCAAUAGAUUUAAAAUGUUAGACAUUUUUCAGAUAUUAAAAUCUUUAUCAUUUGUUGUGGGUCAUGACCUUUUGGUUAAUUAACAUUGAAAAUCGACUACCUUUUUCUCUACUGUCAAUGUCACUUCAAACAGUUCCUUAGUCAUUAGUGUCACUUUAUAGUCAAAGUUGGCCUAAGAUGGUUGAUUGAGGUUUUGGUAGGGUUUCACCAUGUUCCCAUAGGCAAUAUCCUGUAACAUCGGCGUUUAGCCUGUUUAAUAUUAUUUUUAAAUAAUGUAGAUUGAAUUUUAAAUUCAACCAUUGUUUGGUUCUGGGGCUAUUUAGCAAGUAUGCACAUUCACUGAUGAUGGACCGAUAGGUCUGAAAACGUUCUGAAUUGGACAUUUUUAUUCAAUCCAUUGGGAUUUUUAAGUUUUAAUAAAUAUACCAAUUUACAUAGAAGUGGUUUUACUUCUUGUUAGAGUUUUUUAAAUAAUUUGACACUAUCAAAAGAUUAGUAUGAAGAAUACAUUAAAAAAGUAAGAACUCUGAAGGAUGAAUCUACAAAAGAUAGUAAUGAUCACAUAUUGUUAAAAAGAUGGAUGUUACUGAAGUGCAUAGUGCUAGUUGACUUAAACUAGGAAUAGUCAACUUCAACUGGAUAAUCAACUUGAACUGUAACAUAUAAUAUAAAGUUACUUGAAAACCUUUAUUUAAAUCCAACAAUCCAAGUGGUAACAAGAUUACCACUUUUUCUGUUUCGUUAGCUAUUUUGUCUUUACCUACAAAUCAACAGUUUCCACUAAUUUCUAUAGAUUUACCUCUUGUUCAAGAUCUUCACUCUUCAAUAAACUUAGCAUAUAAGUAA